AUACAGAUCCUCUGGAGAUCUUAUUAAAAUGCAGAUUCUGAUUCAGUAGGUGCAAAGUUCCUGAGAGUCUGCAUUUCUAACUAGCUCUCAGGAGAUGCCACU
rnacentral:pre_miRNA from 1 species